CCGGAAGCGGAAGCCGCGCCGAGAGGCUCGUGUCAGUGGAAGUCGGGGUGUCGGCUGGCCGCGGUGGGAAGGCCUAGCGGUGCCUGCGGGAGGUGGAAAAGGAGGGGGGUCAGAGGUCAGUCCACAGAGAAGGUGGCGAGCUGAAGCGGCGGCCAGUUCCGUGGCGGACCUGCGGGUCUCAGCUGGCACGUCACUUCCGACUGGUUGAGUUUUAGCCUUUCCAGGAUUAGGUAACCAUUCCGAGGAGGAAGAGUAUUUCAAAAGUCUGUGAAGAAUGUGUUUGCCUGGAGACUGAUCAUUAACAAGAUUUUAUGCUGAGUAUGGAAGGAAAGGUGCAGAACCAAACUAUGCAGUACAACUCUGGGUGUGCACUCUCAUCAGCUUGUUUAACCCUGAGGAGUUCAGGGUUCUGUACUGUUCCUCUUUUUUCCUGUGGCCAUCACCCCUUUAAGGAUGUCAUCUCUGGUCAGAGGCCAGGAAGAAGACUGGUUAUGGUAUCCAGAGAAAUAUCCUAGUACUGUACCAAAAUGAACUGUUAACUGAAGAACUGUUAACUGAAGACAUGGCUGUAUUGGAAAACAAAGAAAGGAUAUGUAGGGGUAGUGGACCAAACUUCUGGAGGUCUAUCUACAUCAGGGAAUUGCCCCUGACUUUCAACUGCUGGGGAUCAGGUCCCCAAUGGAGGAAUGUAAAGUCUCGCUCCUUUGAUUACGGACCCUAACACCGCCCACUUCUGGAAGGUUCCAUCCCCUGCAGACCUGGUCUCCACAAGCUCUGUGUCCUGGGUCAGAUCCUCCUCAGCAUGCUGCCAGGUCAGAGUGAUCUCCACAGGGUAGAAGCCCAGGGCUCAGCACCUCAGGGCGACAUCAUGGUCCGAGAUGGGGUGGCGGGUCACAUGUGUGUUGGGGGGUUCUGGGGAAGAAGAAUCAGAAAAUCUACACUUUGGGUUACCUUCAUGGGUCACAAAACAGCACUUGUCACCAACCUGAGGAUGGAAAAGACAAUUGGUUUAGGGAUCUGAAAUAAUGUUUUAGAAGCAGGGAGAGAUUCCAGGACAGGAGAGUGGAGGUCUAAAGUGGGGAAUACACUAAUGGUCCUGACUGUGGGGGACCAUCAGUGACUCAGAAAACCUGGAGUCAGACCUCCAAGGAUGUUCUCAGAUGGAGUACAAGUCUUGAGAGGGAAAGUCAUGGAUUACAAGGUGAUUGCCAGGAUGGAGGGGACCAUUUCAGGGAUGUUCUCCAAUUGCCCCCCAGGAGAGACUGGAUUCCUCAAUUGUCCUUUAGAGAAAAGUGGUCCUCUGGGUGAGUCACUCUCUAGUAGAAAAAUGAACACACAAGUGGAUCUCGCUCUCCUCACCUGUGGGAGGGCAGUGUUCUGAUAUUGAGUCCAUUUCCCUUCCUGGUGGAAAGCCAGCCCCAGAGGAGGGGAGAUCAGGGAGGCCCUAGUACCUGUGCGCAGCAGCAUCUCCUCCCCCUUCUCCAGGUGCCUGUGGAGCCACUCCACGCAUCUGUGCUCCAUGUAGUUCCUGUACUGCUCUGUCACACCAGUCGCCUCCCACUUCUGACCAGUGAUCUGUGCGGUGGAGUCUGCCUUGGUCCAGGAGCACAGGUCCUUAUUCAGGGUGAUGUGAUCCAUGCCAUCAUAGGCAUCAUGAAGGUACCCGCGCAGAAAGCACCCAUCAGGCCCCACGUCGCAGCCCAUCACUCUCUGGAAGGCAGGGAGAGCACGACAUUUGGCGCCGAAACCCGGGAAUUGACGACCACAAAGGAAAGGUUAGAAGUUUGCUGAAGAGCAACCACAAAGGGACAGCAGCUGUAUGUUCGCGGAUCGCGACUGUAAAGCGAACCUCUCCCGAAAAUUAUCUCAGAUGCUCAACGGCACCUGGUCAGCCAAAUUCCACAAUCUGACAGCCUCCCUCCAGAUGGAGAUUCUGCAGAUCAAUGCCACGAGAGUCAACCCUCUCACGGCCUCCCAAUUCCUACAAACUAUGCAGGCAGUGGUGGCUUUUGGGAAAUCCUGGUUUGGGACUAUUGCACUCGGCUGUAUUGUGCUCUUCGUCCUCCUCCUGGCGCUGCGUUGGAUAAGGGCCCUCCAACACACAUUAGCCAGAGACCGGCAGGCUGUACAUCAAGUCUUGGUAGCCAUAGAGCAUGAGCUCACCCCAAGUAUGGCUUAGCAUGCUGGACCGGUAGUCAAUGACGGGUAAUGAGGAUGAUAACGGCGUACCAACCUAAGACAGAAGCUGCAGCAUGCUCUGUAGUAUUUGAUGAUGGGUAAGGGUGCAAGUUGAUCAUCCCAACCUAAGACAGGCACGGUCCCUUAUCCAUACAAAUAAAUAAAGAAGGGGGAGCUGUUGGGGUCGUGCCCCUAAGAUGGCGCCGGUCGUGCCCCUAAGAUGGCCCCAGCUACAUAGCCCGAGCAGCACGGACAGCCUGAAAAACAUCCGCCCUGGCCACACGUGACCUCGUGCUCGUCACAUGAACACCGCAUGCCACCACUUCCUGCGAUCCCCAGAUACCUCCUGUUCACAUGAACACCUCUGUGAUUGGCUGUUAUGCCCUAUAUAAGGCAAGGGAAC